UAUGGCCAUAUCACGUUGAAACACCAGUUUCCAUAUGAUAACUGAAGUUAAGCAAUGCCAAGCGUGGUUUGUACCUAGAUGGUUGACCGCUUGGGAAUAUCACAUGCUGUAG